UACGGAGGGGGCUAGCGUUGUUCGGAAUUACUGGGCGUAAAGCGCACGUAGGCGGCUUUGUAAGUUAGAGGUGAAAGCCAGGGCUUAACCCUGGAAUUGCCUUUAAGACUGCAUCGCUAGAAUCGUGGAGAGGUGAGUGGAAUUCCGAGUGUAGAGGUGAAAUUCGUAGAUAUUCGGAAGAAACACCAAGUGGCGAAGGCGACUCACUGGACACGUAUUGACGCUGAGGUGCGAAAAGCGUGGGGAGCAAGCAG
rnacentral:rRNA from 1 species